rnacentral:misc_RNA from 1 species
ACUAUUUUUGUUAAUUUUUUUCUCAAUGCGUGCAGAUUCCAGGAACUUGGGUAGAGUCCGUUCAUUAAGGAUUGGAAUACUGGGCUUUCCAUUCCCAACAUUUACAGGUUCAGCCAUAUCACAUCUAACGCUGUUUUGGGAGAAAAUUUUAGGGCGAGAAUCAUUGGAAGCCAUAGACAUUCUAGAGGAAAAAAGUGAUGAAGAAUGUGAAGAUGAGAAAAACGACGGCAUUGGAAGCGAAGAUGAUGUUUGCGAAAGAGACAGCUUGUUCACUGACACCAUCGGAAUUAGGGAUUUUGAUGGAGGAGUGAGGGUUUGGUAGAGUUAGCGGUGGCGAUGGCUGUUGCUGUGGAGCGGUGGAGUGGUGGCAAUGGUGUUGGUUUUACCACCCCCUCAUGUCCUCUGUUUCCGUUGUAGUUUG